ensembl:snRNA U4 U4 spliceosomal RNA
AGCUUUGUACAGUGGUAGCAUUGGAGUCAAUGAGGGUGAUCAGAGGCGUGAUAAUUGCUGGUGGACAUGGACCCUGGACAGCCACCAAAUUAACGCUCUCUCCAAGCGCAGUGCUCUUUUAGAGCUCUGUCGCAGGUUUUUUUUGUCUCUGCUGUUUUGAACUCUCUACCGUAGACAGGAGA